rnacentral:rRNA from 1 species
GACGAACGCUGGCGGCGUGCUUAACACAUGCAAGUCGAACGAUGAAGCCUAGCUUGCUAGGUGGAUUAGUGGCGAACGGGUGAGUAAUACGUGAGUAACCUACCUUUAACUCUGGGAUAAGCCUGGGAAACUGGGUCUAAUACCGGAUACGACCAAUCUCCGCAUGGGGUGUUGGUGGAAAGCGUUAUGUAGUGGUUAUAGAUGGGCUCACGGCCUAUCAGCUUGUUGGUGAGGUAACGGCUCACCAAGGCGACGACAGGUAGCCGGCCUGAGAGGGUGACCGGCCACACUGGGACUGAGACACGGCCCAGACUCCUACGGGAGGCAGCAGUGGGGAAUAUUGCACAAUGGGCGCAAGCCUGAUGCAGCGACGCCGCGUGAGGGAUGACGGCCUUCGGGUUGUAAACCUCUGUUAGCAGGGAAGAAGAGAAAUUGACGGUACCUGCAGAGAAAGCGCCGGCUAACUACGUG